UUACCCAUUCAAGCCGUCUCCAGCCAUUAUUAGUCUCAAAGUGGGUUCCUCGUCAUCGAAUUUGAAUUCCUUUAGGACUUCUACCUUUUCUUUCUCAGUUGCUGAAGGCUUUUACUUCGUUUUAAUUUUCUAUUACUAACGCUCUUCAAAGCUUUGGAAGAACAAGAAUUGACACCAUCGACAUAGCAAUCAAGUAUGGACUUAGCUGUUAUGGCCACUUUGGGAACAACAUCUUGCUGCUCCUUCGAUCUUCUGUAUGAAAUUGGCCCAGUUUGUCCCAAAGAAGGAACUCGGCUGCACGUGGAUGAUGUUUAAGCUGGAAGUCCUUUUAUAUGUCCUGAAUUCCAGUAUUUAAUGAGAGGAAUUGAAAUAAAUAGUUAUUGAAUG